GAUGAACGCUGGCGGCGUGCCUAAUACAUGCAAGUCGAGCGAACGGACGAGAAGCUUGCUUCUCUGAUGUUAGCGGCGGACGGGUGAGUAACACGUGGAUAACCUACCUAUAAGACUGGGAUAACUUCGGGAAACCGUAGCUAAUACCGGAUAAUAUUUUGAACCGCAUGGUUCAAAAGUGAAAGACGGUCUUGCUGUCACUUAUAGAUGGAUCCGCGCUGCAUUAGCUAGUUGGUAAGGUAACGGCUUACCAAGGCAACGAUGCAUAGCCGACCUGAGAGGGUGAUCGGCCACACUGGAGCUGAAACGCGGUCCAGACUCCUACGGGAGGGAGCAGAAGGGAAUCUUCCGCAAUAGGCGAAAGCCUGGCGGAGCAACGCCGCGUGAGUGAUGGAGGUCUUCGGAUCGUAAAGCUCUGUUAUUAGGGAAGAACAUAUGUGUAAGUAACUGUGCACAUCUUGACGGUAACGAAUCAGAAAGCCACGGCUAACUACGUG
rnacentral:rRNA from 1 species